rnacentral:misc_RNA from 1 species
UUUUAUUUUAUCGAAAGGUGGUGCGCGUCAUGUGGUCCCAUUUAAACUUUAUCGAUAUGUGUUGAUUACUUUUUAACCGACUUCCAAAAAAGGAGGAGGUUCUCAAUUCGACUGUAUUUUUUUUUUUUUAUGUAUGUUACAUCAGAACUUUUGACCGGGUAGACCGAUUUCGACAAAUUUUGUUUUAAUCGAAAGGUUGUGUGUGCCAAUUGUCCCAUUUAAAUUUAUUUGAGAUCUAACAACU